rnacentral:rRNA from 1 species
UGGGGAAUUCGGACAAUGGGCGAAAGCCUGAUCCAGCAAUGCCGCGUGUGUGAAGAAGGCCUUCGGGUUGUAAAGCACUUUUGUCCGGAAAGAAAUCCUUGGCUCUAAUACAGUCGGGGGAUGACGGUACCGGAAGAAUAAGCACCGGCUAACUACGUGCCAGCAGCCGCGGUAAUACGUAGGGUGCAAGCGUUAAUCGGAAUUACUGGGCGUAAAGCGUGCGCAGGCGGUUUGCUAAGACCGACGUGAAAUCCCCGGGCUUAACCUGGGAACUGCAUUUGUGACUGGCGGGCUAGAGUAUGGCAGAGGGGGGUAGAAUUCCACGUGUAGCAGUGAAAUGCGUAGAGAUGUGGAGGAAUACCGAUGGCGAAGGCAGCCCCCUGGGCCAAUACUGACGCUCAUGCACGAAAGCGUGGGGAGCAAACAGGAUUAGAUACCCUGGUAGUCCACGCCCUAAACGAUGUCAACUAGUUGUCGGGUCUUCAUUGACUUGGUAACGUGCUAACGCGUGAAGUUGACCGCCUGGGGAGU